CAAUAGCGUAUAUUUAAGUUGUUGCAGUUCAAAAGCUCGUAGUUGGAUUUCGUCUGAGACCGGCCGGUCCGCCGUUUGGUGUGCACUGGCUGAACUCAGAUUUUUGCUGAGGACGCGCUCUGGGCUUAACGGUCUGGACGUGGAGUCAGCGUGGUUACUUUGAAAAAUUAGAGUGUUCAAAGCGGGCUUACGCUUGAAUAGAUUAGCAUGGAAUAACACUAUAGGACUCCUGUCCUAUUUCGUUGGUCUCGGGACGGGAGUAAUGAUGAAGAGGAACAGUUGGGGGCAUUCGUAUUUCAUUGUCAGAGGUGAAAUUCUUGGAUUUAUGAAAGACGAACUUCUGCGAAAGCAUUUGCCAAGGAUGUUUUCAUUAAUCAAGAACGAAAGUUGGGGGCUCGAAGACGAUCAGAUACCG
rnacentral:rRNA from 1 species